CUUGAUUGCUUUCAGCAUUUCGGGCUCUGACAAGUUGAAGUCGUUGCCUGAUGAGAUGAGUAGUCUUCUCCCAAAGUUAGAAGAUCUCGGCAUAUUCAACUGCCCAGAAAUUGAGUCCUUUCCAAAACGGGGUAUGCCACCUAACCUGAGAACAGUUUGGAUUGAGAAUUGUGAGAAACUACUGAGCGGCCUAGCAUGGCCAUCCAUGGGCAUGCUUACUCAUCUCACUGUUGGGGGUCGAUGUGAUGGCAUCAAGUCCUUCCCUAAGGAGGGUUUGCUGCCUCCCUCCCUUACGUGUCUGUUUCUAUAUGGAUUCUCAAAUCUGGAGAUGUUGGACUGCACGGGGCUUCUCCAUCUCACAUCCCUGCAAAUAUUAUACAUAGGCAAUUGUCCUUUGCUGGAGAAUAUGGCUGGAGAAAGUCUUCCUGUCUCUCUAAUAAAAUUAACCAUAUUGGAAUGUCCUUUGCUGGAAAAACAAUGCCGCAUGAAGCACCCUCAAAUUUGGCCUAAAAUUUGCCACAUCCCUGGCAUUCAGGUUGACGAUAGAUGGAUUUAGCCACCAAGGAUGACCAACAGGUAUCUUCUAAGUCUAACCAACUAGAAAACUAGUUCUGUCAAGGAUGUUUCAUUUCAUGUCUUUCUCCUUUUACGUUUUACUAAAUCCAAUUGAUUCUGAAAUGGAAAUUGACCUUGUAUAUAUGUUACUGAAUCUACAGAGAAUCAACAAAUUAUCAAAGGCAACUUGUGAUAUCAUCUAAAUCAAAUUCACUGAAGAGUGCCGCUUAACCCCUAGCUUCGAAGAAGUAACGAUACAGGUACUAAGUAACAACAUUGAUAAAUACUUAAAUAUAAUGAUACAGGUACUAAGUAACAACAUUGAUAAACUUAUUUUUGUUUUUCAGAUAUGGUUGAUUGGUCCGAAGAAACUGUACCUACCCAUGAAUCUAAGUUUAAAUUUGAACUAGUGCUAAAUGUAACUUUUGAUUUAAUUGAUGUGAAAUUGACACUUUCUCAAUAGCUGAAUUUUUAUUUGUGAGGUUUUUCGUUGGGUACAAUGUGAAGGAUGAAAAGGUGUACCAAGUGAACUUUUGAAGGAUGGGAUGAUUUCAGCUUAUCUCUUAUCCCAUGUCUUAUAAAUUAAUAGUGGUAUGAUUAUUCUAAAAAUAUGAUAGAUAUGUAGAUAUGUAAGAAUUGAUAAAAGCAUAAUAAAUAUACAAUUGCAAUUCGGUAAAUUGAAGAACAUACAUACUUCUUAGACAUUACUAAAAACAAAAUCAAAAAAUUUUAGAUCAUCUUUUCCUAUUGUUCACAAAUAAGAAUGGUACUAUCAAUGAUCAAUCUCAUUUCUUUCUUGAAAUUAUCUAUAAACAAAACAAUUUUCAAAUUUGGUUCAUCAAGAAACAAUAUUUUUUAUAUUUCUAUAUUAUACUUACUUCUAUGUUACAUGUCACUAUAUUUAAUUUUCAUAAUUUUUUUAAAGAUUUGGUCACUUCACAUAUAUGUACCAGUGAAAUAUAUCAAUAUAUUGGUAUCAGAUAUAGAUGCAUGAAGCAAAUUAAAGUAUGAGUACUAUGUAACAAAACACAUUCUUCAAAACAUGAUAUGAGGUAAAAAAAUAAGAUGAUAUUUUUUUAAGUAUUGGAAAAAAAAGUAAAGCUUCUGAAAUCAAAGAGACACUAAAUUUUCCACAACAUCCUUCAGGCCCAAUCUUCCUUUCCUAUUGACAAAUAACUGGUUGUUAGUGUCAGCAUUUUCUUUUUUUCCAGUUUUCCAUUGAUGGUUAAAACCUAAUAUGAAUCUGUCACUCCUUAAAAUUUCCACCAAAGUUUGGUAAAUAAAUAUAUAGGAGAGUGAAUAAUACAAGCCUUGCAUUCUAUCUCUAAGUUACUAGGUAUAUGAAACAGGUAUGGGUAUUUGGUUUUAGAAGGUAUAUGGUUCAUCACUGUUUAUAUUAUUACUACAAGAACCAGGUACACUUUAUUAUGGUACAGUAAAUUUGGUGUGAGGUUGUAACUACGUUAUAUCCAUCUCACUUAGCACGAUAAUUAAAUUUAAAAGCAAAAAGAUGAGAAAAAUGUCAAUUUAACAAUUGUUACCAGAGAUUAUUGCUACCUCUCUUGCAUGACAAGCCCAAUCAGCACCCAACAAAAUCAGAAACAAAAGCCCCACUCUUUACUCCAUGGUGCCUGUAAUUAACAAGCACUUCAAAAACCAAUGUUAAUUAAUUAAUUCCCAUCAGAAAAAAAGGUAGAAGCCAAUGAAAUUUAGGGGUACAACAAAGAUUCGUAGAACCAUGAUUAAUAUCAAUGCAACGCACCAUGAUGAAGUGCAUGACAUAAUAAUAAUUUGGAACCAAUCAUGAGAAUAACAGAAAAUAAAUCAGUGCAAUUGCAUGAUCAGAAAACAAAGAGACAAUAUAUUAUGUUCAUAUUAGAAAAUAGGGCAACUUGUUAAAGAGAUGUCUCAGGUGGAACAAUGAGGGGAAGGAGAAGAGAAGGAUGAUAAAGGAUGCGGUUAUGACUUCCACAAAGUCGAAUUAUUUACUUUUUUAAUUAUUUAUAUUUUUCUUUUCACUUUCCUAAAAGCCGUCCAAUUAAGAGGAGUCUAUGGAGUAGAUUAGAUUAGUUUUGAAAAAGAGUAAUAUCAUCUUAUACAAUUUUUGGUUUUCUUAAUUAAUUGUUCAAUUGAUGUAGUUUAAAAUUUAAAUAUGAUUUAAUCUGUCUAGAUUGAUCUCAAUUUUAAGUUUUAAUUUUAUUUCUAUUUUUUCAAAAAAAUAAAUAUUUAAGAUAUAUAAUAAUUUUGAUACAAAUAAAUUUAAAAUAUUUCACCAAAAAAAAGUAAUUUAAAAUAUCACAUAUAUAUAUAUAAAUCAUUUUAAAGCUAAUAGUAAUAUUUUCUAAACAAUAUCUAAAAGUAUAUCUCUGUUAUACAAGUUGAUAAUUAUAUUUAUAUAUACUUGAAUAUUUACUGAAUAUUAUAUUUAAUUCAAUUUAUUUUUCAUAAAUAAUUUUAAGCAAUGUAAUAAUUUAUAUAUAUAUAUAUAUAUAUAUAUAUAUAUAAAAGAAAUAAAAAUAUAAAACAUCGAUGAUAUCAUACAAAUUUUGGUAAUAAUAAUUUUUAAAAAAAUCUGUGAAUUAACUAACAGUGUAUUACAUGGGUAAUUAUAUGUUCAAAAGAUUUUGAAGGACAAAUUAUCUUUUCUGAAAAAAAAAUCCAGCUCGUCCAACGCUAUAAGCAUUUUUAAACAAAGUACCCAAAAUAUGGAUUUACAUUUUUUUUAAAAAAGUGUGUAAACACUAGCUUUUUACAAAUUGCGUCCAGCAUGCCUUUCAGAAUAUUCUCUUUAAAGUUGAACAUCUCUUUAUGCUUAUUGCUUUAACUAUACUGAAAAUAUGUUUUACCCAAUUCAAUCUUGAAUACAAGAAAAAGAAAAAAUCUUAUAUACUAGUAUUAAAUAUAAAUAAAUUUUAAUUAAUUUUACACUAUUUAAUUUAAUACUAUCAUCUCUAAAAUAUCCCUUAACUAAUUUAAUAUAUCUAAACAUAAGUACUCUUAAGACUAUAAAAAACAUAUCAACAUAUUUACCAUUUUCAUUUUCAUAAAUUUGAAAAAUGAUUGAAUAUCGAUUUUAAAUAUUUCACAUAUCUUAUACGGGAACUGUCCUAAUCAAAUCGGUUAAAAUAAUGUUUUUAAUAUUUAAUACAAAUGCAUAUCUAUUACUCAAACUUGAGAAUACCGAGUUUUUUUCUUAGUUUAGUUGGAUAUUACUCAUUUAACCAAUUUUUUUAUAGUUAAUUUUAAAUUUAAACAUUUCUUUUUAUUUUUCAAGUUUGUUAAUAAAAGGAAUGCAUUAAAAUAUUUCAAAAUUCUCUCAAAAUAAAUAGGCACUAAAUGUCCACAUUGGGAGAGCAUUGAAUAUUUCUUCAAUUAAAAUAGAAAUUAGUAGAAAAGUAACCUCGAACCUAAUUCUUCAUGAAAAGUUUCAAGGCACAUGCAUAGGGCUAAAGUAAAAUGGUUUGCUGCAAUUUUAUCCCCACGUUCAAGUUGUUAUAUGCUGUACUCUGGUCAACAUUUUCACCUCAUUUGAUGCAAUUCACAAUACCAAAAUUCGAUCAGACAGCUUUGGUCUUUUUUGGAUUCAAUCUUAGAAUUCAUGUGCAUAAAAUAAAGUUACCAUUGAAAGUAAUCCCAGCCUUUAACACUUACCAUAUACCAAGGAGAUUUUACCAUGUAUCAAACCAACUAAGGUAAAGCCAACGUGCCAAUAUAUGUAUAAACAUUGAAAGAAUAGAACAACCUCAUAUGCAUAUGAGAAUUAUAACAUCAGCUUACAAGUGUCAAAUUCACAUAAAUCACCUCUACAAGUAGCAUGACAAGUCACAAUUGACGAACAAACUUUAGUUAAUAUACAAGCAAGGUAAAUUAAACAACAAACAAGAAAUUUAGUCGAGCACAAUAAGAGGAUGAGAUGAGAACAGAUAAAAAGAUGCAAUAUAAUCUCAUUGUUUUGUCAGCACAAAAGCAAGCCAUUAUGCACCUCAAGUUCAGUGUUGGCUUCUUCUUCUUUUGUUGUUUUGUCAAUAGAAGGGAGAAUCGGCCAAAUCCAAAUUUCUUUCUCUUUGCAGAAAACAGCUUCUGAUCAUUUUCCUUCUCAGCUUGUUUGUCAAAGGAUGGAUCCGCGUUUUGUUUGCCUAGCAUCUGGCCAAGAGACACCUUGAUUCGCACAGCCUCUACCCUUUCAAGAGCUUCCUCAAGGGCCUUCUUGCUGGUUUUAACUUCUUCUGAGGCUUCCUCUACCUUUCUCAAAAUGUCCAUUUUAGAUACAUUUGCUUCAUCAACUAGAUGCAUAGCAUCUACAACCGUUGGAUCAUCGUGAAAUUUGACGAUCUUGGACUCAGUAACCGUUGGAUCAUCGUGAAAUUUGAGCACCACGUUCGCAACCCAAUUCUGAGCAUUCCCACCGUUGGGAAUUUUGAUAUUAUCUCUGAUCUAAGAGAAAUACCCCUCGCAUUGUAACAUUUUCCUUUCCCGCAGAAAUCCAGAGCUGUCUCGGUAAAACUAAGAUCUCGGUUUCGUUAACCGUUGGAUUUUCAUGAAAUUUGGAUAUGUUGUUUGAAAUUCAAUUUCUCACGCUUUCACCGUUGUGAUUUGCAAGAUAAUAUUUGUGGAGGGAGAAAAAUAAAUCACAUGAUGACAGUACAAGUGGAGGCUUCAAUCCCUUUUUUGUCUCUUUGACGUUUGGGAACUCUAUCGGAACAGUUAGAGGAAAAAAAUAGGAGGAAUCUUAGGGAACCGUUAGAGAUGCUGUUAUCGCUGGCUGAAGACACGUGAGCCCACUUAUAGAUAAGGGAUGAGUUAUUCACAAUUAUGAACUAGUUAGAACAUGUGUAGGGAUCCUUAGAAAUACCAAUUGAAAUGAGUUUUUGAGUGUUUUUGCAAUUUCAUUUUAUCCUUAUAAUUAUUAUAGUGAAUUAUAUAUGUUUGACAGACCAAUUGUUGUGAAAUUGAUAUGCUAUUGUGUUGAGCGUGAACCCUAUAAAUUGAGUACUUUUUCUAAUUAAUAUGAAUUGAUGAAAUAAAAUAAGGAGAAAUUUAGAGAGAGAUAUUGAUUUUGUAUUUUGUAUUUUUCUUGUUAUUUAGGUUUUUAUAUAUAAUUUAAAAAAUUAAUAUCAUAAUUGAAACUGACCAAAGUGUUCUUCUAAUUAUUUAGAAUUUGUGCAUUGAAAGCUUACCUUGAAAUUUGUGAUUUAAUAUGAUGUAUGCUAGUUUAUAUAUAUAGAGGUAGUUAUUUAUAUUAAUAAUUUAUGUAAAUAAUAUUGUAGAGUGUUAUAGUAUGAUUCCAAAAAAUUAUUAAGUGUUGGAGUUUGAGAAUAUUAUGAUUAAAUUUCAUGAACAUGUGUAUGUUGUACCUUAUGAAUAUCAUUGGGAAUGUUAUGAGAUGGAUGAUGUGAUGUUAUGAGAUGUUAAAGUGUGGACAUGAUAUUCGAUUGUAAAUAAGUGGAUGUGUUUAACACUUUAUGUUACAUUAAUUAUAUCGUGAGCUAUGAAUUAUACAAUAAUCCGACCAGUGUUUAUGCGCAGUGUUAAAGAGAAAGUGUAGGUUCCUAGUUAGGAACCAGUGUUAAAUUGUAGUACAAUUGUGUUAAACAUGUUUGAAACAUGAGUGUGAGGUCGUGAUAUUGUAUAAUUCAUGAGCAGUGCUUAUAAAUGAAAUAUGUGAUGAAUUGUGGAAUAAUAUGUUACCUUGAGAUUAUAAUAUUGUUAUUGAGAUUGAGUAAAAGUGUAAAGUAGAACAGAUGUUGAAUUGUGAGAUACGUGAAAAUAUGUGAUGGUGGAUUGUGAUAUUAUGAGAUGUGAAAUUGUGAGUUUUAGUUAUGAAUAAGUGUGUGAUUAACUCUUGAUGUGACAUUAUUUGUGUUGUAAGCUGUGAAUUGUACAAUAACCCGACCAGUGUUAUCUUGAGAAAAGUGUAAAUGCGCAUUGUUAAAGCGAAAGUGUAGGUUUCCUAUUUAGGAACUAGUGUUAAAGAGAUGGUGUAGGUUCCUAAAUUGUAGCGCAAUAUGUUGUACAUGUCUAAGACACGAGUGUGAGGUCCUGGGUAUUGUAUAAUUCACUAGCAGUGUCUGUGUGCUAAAAUGAUUUUAGGGGUUGGACCUGAAUCAGGAGGGAGAGACCCUGACGGACUCUUCAGAGUGUAGGCCUUGGGAGUCACCGGGUUUGAGUGUUCCUUUAAGCCUAUGCUGAUCCCAUAUGGUUGGAGCAUUCUCGCAAAACAUCGUGACCCUGACUGGUCUCCCUAUGAUCUUACUUAGUGAGAGUGACCUGACAAAUCCAUUGUGUGGUGUGUCUUGUUAUGUACUCCUAAGCGCCCCAGGGUGGUUUUUCACUGACAUGGUAUCACAUUGCAUAUAGGCUUGAGUCUUAGCAUAACUGUCUCAUGCGUUUGCUAAUUGUUCAUUAUGAAAUUGAUGUGUUAUUAUGUCUUGAUCGGAGUGUGUGAUUCUUGUGUAUUGUGAUUGAUGAUUAAAAGGUUUGAUUGAUGAUUGAAAAGUGAAUUUUGAAUGACAAAGUGAUGAAAUAAUGUGAGAUAUGCUAAGUAAAUUGUAUUUGGUUAUUAUAUGUUGUUUUGUUUCUCUCUAGUAGUUAGGAAUGUGAUAACUCACUCCCGGUUUAUUGUUUGUGUUUAGAUCCUGUGAUGAUCUUGAACCUUGUGUUUGGGGGAGCAGAUGACUAGGUGAAGUGCUUAAACGAACCUUAUGCUGAAGGACGUCGGGACACAAUGCUCUGAUAGGAUGUGACAGUGGGGCAUAAGUUUUAUAUUAAUUGCAUAAUGUUAGUCUAUUUUAUUUUAUCUUACUAAUUUAACAAAAUAUUUUUGUAAAUUUUGACGGCCUUAUUUCGAACCAAAUAUAUUUUUUAAUAAGUUUUAAUUGAUAAUAGUGAAGUGAAUGUGAACCUUUUACCCGUGUGAAUUUGGUUACCGAUAUUUUUUAUAUAUUUUAUUUACUUAUAUGUCGGGGUAGAGGGUGUCACACUUACAAGUGUCAAAUUCACAUAAAUCACCUCUACAAGUAGCAUGACAAGUCACAAGUGAUGAACAAACUUUAGUUAAUAUACAAGCAAGGUAAAUUAAACAACAAACAAGAAAUUUAGUCGAGCACAAUAAGAGGAUGAGAUGAGAACAGAUAAAAAUAUGCAAUAUAAUCUCAUUGUUUUGUCAGCACAAAAGCAAGCCAUUAUGCACCUCAAGUUCAGUGUUGGCUUCUUCUUCUUUUGUUGUUUUGUCAAUAGAAGGGAGAAUCGGCCAAAUCCAAAUUUCUUUCUCUAUGCAGAAAACAGCUUCUGACCAUUUUCCUUCUCAGCUUGCCUGUCAAAGGAUGGAUCCGCGUUUUGUUUGCCUAGCAUCUGGCCAAGAGACACCUUCCGUCUCUUCCGGCAUCAUCAACUUCAAAGGAAAGGGUAACUCCAUCAUGCUUUUCCACGCAAUCACCAGCUGAAUUCUCAUGAUGAGAUGAUAAAGCUUUGAUUUCUGCUAGGGCAGCAGCUUCGGCUGCUCUAGCCGCCUCCUUCAUUUUUGGGGCAGCAAUCAACCUGAUUUCAGCAGUUUUUAUCAUAGCUUUUGUCUAUUCAAUCUCUGACAUUGUCUGUUCAAAACUCAGUCGCUGAAGUUCUCUUGUUAUAUCUGAAUGGUUAUCCGAACCGGCAUCUUUUGCCACUAGCAGUUUUAGUUUUGUCUGGUUUAGUUCUUCCUCAAGAGAACAUAUCUUUGAAGAGUUCUGAGCUAACCUCUCACGAGUCUUCUCAAGUGAUAGUCUUUCUUUCUCUAACUUUUUACUGAGAGAUUCAACAGAAGCACGAACAUCAGCAAUAUCACUUGUAGUUCUGUUCAGAUUGAAUUUUGCUGGCUUCAAUUCCAUUAAUAUUAACCCUGAGGAGGAUGAAGGAUAGGGGAUACAACCUUCCUUCGAGUCCUGAACAACAUUACUCACUCGGUUUUCCUUAUCUUUUCUUUCAUCCUCCUCAACAGACGAUAUAUUUUCACACACACUCGUCUGAACAUUCAAAUUUGCUUCAGAUUCUUCUUUUUGUACCUUUGAUUUCAAAUUCUCCACAAGCCUUUUGGUACUUUCCAACUCUUUAAGACAUCAAGUGUUUCCCUUUCUUUCAGGAUCAGGUCUUUCUCCAAUACAACAGCUUGCUCCUCCAGUUUUUCAGGGUCAAGCUCUUCUGCGUGAUGCGGCUGAAGAGAAGAAGAGAAAAAGUUUUACUGUGAACUGUGAAGAUAACUCAACACAAAUGCUUAAAAAGAACUGAAAGUAAACAUUCACACAAAAAUGCGGCACUAUAGUAUCUAUUAUAAGUCAAUACCAAAUUUCACUCUCUUAGCUAUGCAUUAGAAAAUGAUCUAGAGGACAAAACUCAGAUACAAUUUCUUAGAUUUUUUAGUGUUGUUCUCCCAUGAAAAUUAGAGUUUCACUUUGAGAACUUGUAUUGAACUUUAAUGCAGACAUUAAUUAGGCAGAUUAUCGAGAUGAAACUUCAAUUCUAACAAGAGAACAACACAAAAAUCACAUAAAGAACUGCCUUUAAGUUUUGUCCUUAUCCAAAAAGAAAAUUCCUACAAAAAUAUUAGACUACAAAAAUAAACCCAGCCAAGAUAUCAUAUUUAUGACCUUCAUUAUCACCGCAAAGGGUUUUUGGCAGUUAGCAUAGCACCAGAAAACAAACAAAUUAUUAUUAUUUUGAAGCUACAAAUAAAUGAUUAUCGUUUUUUCGAUCCAAGCUACCCAAGUACUCAGCAGAAUAGAAACAACCAAAUAAUGGGUUGUGCGAAGAGAACGUCAACGGCGAAGGUGGCUACGGAAGUGUGUACCGUGGCUUGUUUCCCGAUGGCACCAAGGUUGCUGGAGACCUGGAUCUGAUUUGCCCGAAGGUAUUUUUUAUCAUAGGCGUAGAUGUUUGAUUUCCCUGUUUUGCUAUUUCAAGAAGUGAAUAUUCUUGAAGAUAUUAUGUGGCAUUAUUUCCCUGUUUUGCUGGAGACCAUUAUUCAUUAGUUUGAUGGAUAGAUUGAAAGAGCUUGGCUUUUAGACUGCAGACAUUGAUGAGAAAGGUAUUAGGAGGGAAAAGCCGGAAGAAUACUUCUAUUAUUUAAUACAAAUAAGUAUAUUUAAUUGUUGAAUUUCUGUUAUAUUGGGCUUAGGAAGGAUACUUCUUCUUGUUCUUCUUUUUAAUCGAUUUCACCUUGAUACAUUCUGUCAGCAGCCCAUAAUGAUAACUCCUAUUUCCUUGCUUUUGGAUGAUUGCUGCUAUUUCCACCCGUAAUUUUUACAAAAACAAAAUAGAAAGAUAUUUAUACCUCUAUCACUAAUUUCCUAUUCCUCUUCCCCCAUCCAUUUCCCCACCCAUUCUCACCCCCUUAGCUUCACUCUUUGUCUCCCUUGACCCCAUUUUUGUCACAUUGCCACACCGCAUCAAGAAGUCAGCCACCUUUCCUAAACCAAAUUUGCCAAAGCUCAAAGUCUUGUUGUUUCGAACAAUUGAAAAAAGAGGUAAGAUUUUUCCCUCCAAAAAUCCAAGAUAAUUCUAUUUCAUAAAAUAAUGAAAUUAUAUUUUUUCAAUGUAUUUAAUUUCAAAUACACAACAAAAUUAUAUAUUUGUUACGUAUCUAAAAUUAGGUACACUGGAUAAUGUAAUUUCACAGUAUUUAAUUUUAGAUACACACUCGCGGUUCUUAAAUUUAUUUGUUUGUUUAUUAUUUUAGUUAACUUAAUUGAUUUGAAAUUUAUUAUUUUUUUAAAAUUAAGUCUUAGUGGUAUAUGUUUUAAUUAUGUGAAAAUUUAAUUAGUUAAUUAAUUAUUAAAAUUGUAUUUUAUAAUUUUAGUUACUUAAUCUUUUUAUAACAAUGUAAUUAAAUAUUUAAAUCAACUUAUGGUUAUUAUGAUAGUAGUAGUAUCUAAUUUAAUUGUGUUACAACUUAGAAGAAGUACUUUUAUUCAGUUAAAUAAAAAAGCAUGCGUGUCAAGGGUAAUUUGGAAGCCAUUACAACCUUUGCUUGAUCAAUUUGGAAGCCAUUACAGCAUUUGCUUCCUGAACCUCCAUAAUUACUUCCUGUGCCUUUUUAACCUUCCAGAAAGCUAAUUUUGAAAUGUAAUUUUCUGGAAUAGUCUUUCCGAAAUGUAAUCUGAUAUGCAAAUUUUUACAUUUCAGAAUGGCUUAUCAAGAAUGUAAAUUGCAUUAUGGAAUAAGGUGCAGGAAGAAAUUCCAGAGGUGCAAGAAGCACUUGUCAGCCAUUACACACCAUUAAGAAUGAAAAGAAAAAAAAAUUACAAGAACUAAAAAAAUAUUUAAUCCUUUUAAAAACAGCCGUAUCCUUCUUACUCCUACUUCUAUCGUUAUCAUGAUAUUUGGAAGUUAUAUUUAAUACCAUUUAUAUAAAGUAUUAUGAAGAUUCACAUGAUGAUUUAUAGGAAGAUAAAACAUUACUAUUUAUCAAUGCAUAAAAAUAUAUAAGAUGGAGUCACAAGUGUUUUAUAAUGGAAAUAUUCUUAAAUUUUUUUAAAAUUAUUAUUAUUAUUGCACGUGGGAAUUUGUCUACUUAGUGUUUGCUUGCCAAUGGAACUGAGUUAAGAUAGUGCUAUUCACCAAAUUUGUUUUAUGAACUGCACGGGUCUGACUUGACACUCUUCUCUAUCGUGUACUUUGUUGCAUAUAGGCUAUAUAAAUUAUGUACUAAUAUUUUUUUUUUGUUGGAAAGAAGUUGUUUCGUAAAUUAUUGCAGCUUUUUUUUUUACAAAUUAUAUGAAUCUUUCAUGAGAGAUAAUUAGUUAAAUAAAACCAUGACUGAAUUCAAACUCUGUUUCCAUGACCGAAUUCCAAUUCUGUCUUUCCUGCUAUUGCCAAUUUGCCACGUUAUUCUCUGUCAAGUCAUCGUUAACCACAUUUUUUCUUGUAUGUGUAGGGCUUGCAAACAUGCUUGGUUGCUCUUUUGUCCAGGUGUGGUCUAUCAUCUUUAAUGAAUGUUAUUAAUAAUUUUUGGUCUUAGUAUCCAUUUAUUAAGGUUACCAUAUUUUAUUUUUUAAAGCAAUUCCUCUUUAAUUAUUUGAGAGGCUCAAAUUGGAUCUGGUAGAGUUGACAUGUGUUUUAUGACAAUAACAAAUCCUGUUGGAAUUUGGAUGGGUUGUCUUUUUUAUUUCAUGAUCAACUUGAUUUCUUAAGCAUUAAAAGAAUUAUCUUACCUUUUCAUUUAAAUGUAUAUUUCAUUAAUUAUUUUCAAAAAGUAUUUUGGAUGAUCAGCUUGGUGAGUUCAAGAACCAUUACAAUUUUGACCUUCAUAUUUUAUUUUCAAGAUACUGCUUCUACUCAGCCUAUAUCUUGACCAUUUGGCAAUAGCAUUUUUGGCAACUCCCUACUGGUGGACACACAACUUUUGAUAUUCUAUUAUUGUUAUCUUUGAUUAGGUUAAUUGACUUGGUUCAUCAGGAUCAGUUCUCAAAAUUGAAGGUGAAUGUCAUUUAAUCUUAAUUUUGGUUUAUUUUUAGCAUUGGAUUAAUUUCUAGCUAACUUCUUUAUGGACCUAAUAUUAAUGGACAUGUGAAUUUUUUUUUGCUAUAUUCUAAUACUUGAAUGCAAGCAAGUCUGUAUAGUUAUAAUUAUAAAUAAUAUAAUAACAAAAAAAUAUGAUAGGCCAGGUAGCAGAUUGUAUUCAUUCACUUCUAUGGGUUGGUUUGUCUUUCAUUCAUUGAAAUUAACAAGUCAUCUAUCAAAAGAAAGAACAAUUUUAUUGAGUUUUUUUUCUUUGAAAAUUAGAUGAAACCUAAAUUUCUUUGAAAAUUUAUUGAGUUUUUUUUUUCGUUCAACAAAGCCUGUGGAAGGCCAAUUAGGCCAUGCCCUCACCACCACCAUGAAUAGAGGAUGUCAUUGUUCAACAAAGCCUGUGGACCUGCACUGGAUAUUCAGACUAAGCAUUUCACCCCUUAUGGCUUGGUUCCACCACUCUAAGGGGCUGGUUGGCAGUAUAUCCUCUGCAACUUAUCCCGUGUGAAGCUGUUGCCACCGGUAGGGUAUGUGUUCACCACAUUUUGCUGUUGUCUGGCUUGUUUUUGCUCUAUUCAAUUUUAUUCCUACACAGGUUGCAGAGUUGUUGGGGUCAUUUGGAUAGGUUUACCUGUGAUUUCCACUAUUUGGCAAGGUUUAUUUUAUUUGUAACAAGCUGAGAGCUUAAUAGCCUUAGCUAGAUGGGAGUGUUAGAAUAUUAACAUUAUUACAUUAUUUGUCAUUUUAUAAUGACUCUUAUUUGUGUAUUUUUGCAUUUUAUAACUACAUUGGUAAAUGAUAAAUUGUUAUUUAAUUAGAAGUUUUUUUUCUAUGUAUUGGUAGCAAGAUAGCUUGUUGUAGUUACUCACUAAGUAUUUUGAUAGCUGAAAUUUGACCUAGGUUUUCAAUUUAAUGCCACAAAAAAAUUUCAGAAAAAAAAACACUACAUCAAUUUUGGGAUGAGAAACGAUGUAGAAUCAGGUACAUUCUACAUCGGUUCUGGAGGGAAACGAUGUAGAAUAAAGUACAUUCUACAUCGGUUAUAUUGAGAAACCAAUGUAGAAUGUACUUGAUUCUACAUCGUUUCUCUUCCCAAAACCGAUGUAGAAUGCAUGACUUUCUAAGUUAGUCAUUGAACCGAUGUUGUAGGGUCUCGGGUUUUCAACGACAUCGGCCUACAAACACGCGUCGUAACCGAUGUAGAAGGGUCAUUAGAACCGAUGUAGAAGGGCUUUUUUUUAGUAGUGUCUAUACUAUUCUUCUAUGUUACAUGUGACUAUAUUUGCUUUCCAUAAUUUUAUUUUAAAGAAUUGGUCACUUCACAUAUAUGUAUCAGUGAAGUAUAUCAAUAUAUUGGUAUCAGAUAUAGACGCAUGAAGCAAAUUAAAGCAUCACUACUUUGUAACAAAACACAUCAUCCUUCAAAACAUGACAUGAGGUAUAAAUUAGAUGAUAUUUUUGUAAGUAUUGAAAAGAAAAAAUAAAGUUUCUGAAAUCAAAGAGGCACUAAAAUUUCCACAACAUCCUUCUAUAGGGCCCAAGCUUCCUUCCCUAUUGAUAAAAAACUGGUUGUCAGUGCCAGCCUUUUCUUUUUUUCCAGUUUUCCAUUGAUGGUUAGGAGCUAAUAUUAACCUGUCACUCCUUAAAAUUUCCACCUAAGAUUGAUAAAUAAAUAUAUAGGAGAGUGAAUAAUACAAGCCUUGCAUUCUAUCUCUAAGUUACUAGGUAUAUGGGACAGGUAUGGGUAUUUGGUUUUUAAAAGGUAUAUGGUUCAUCACUAUUUAUAUUAUUACUACAAUAAUCAGGUACACUUUAUUAUGGUACAGGAAAUUUGGUGAUACAAAAAUAAUUUAAAAUAUUUCAUCAAUUUUUUUUUAAAUAUCACAUAUAUAAAAAUCAUUUUAAAGCUAAUAGUAAUAUUUUUUUAAAAAAAAGGCUAAAAGUAUAUUUCUGUUAUAUAAGUUGAUAAUUAUAUUUAUAUAUACUUGAAUAGCUACUAAAUAUUAUAUUAUAUUUAAUUAAAUUCAUUUUUCAUAAAUAAUUUUAAGUAAUGUAAUAAUAUAUAUAUAUAUAUAUAUAUAUAUAUAUAUAUAAGAAAUAAAAAUAUAAACAUCAUGGUAUCAUAAAAAUUUUGAUGAUAAUAUUUUUUAAAAAAAAUUUGUGAAUUAACUAACAGUGAGCCUGAACACACUUCAUAAGUCUUGGUUGUCUGUUUUGAAGGGUCACUUCCUUCUAACCUUUCCGGAAUGGCACAUCCUAUCAUAAAUCAGAGUCAUCGGCUCUCUUUCCAUUGCUUUUUUAUUGCACAUAGACCAGCAUGUGUCCGAGAAAGAACCCAGCUCAGCUAGUGUCGUCACAUGCCUUCUAGAAUAUUCUUUUUUAAAUUGAACAUCUUUUUAUGCAGUUAUUGCUUUAACUUCUAGCUGGUUUUAAUUUCUUGUGUGGCUUCCUCUACCUUUUUCAAAAUGUCCACCAAAAAUAAUUAUUUAAUUUUUAUUUAAGUAAUCUAAAUAAAAAAAUUAAUUUUUAAUAUGUAUGUACUUUAUCUUUUGGCAUAAAAUUCUAAUAUUUCUACACAAUCUCUAGGUGAAUUUUCAUGAUGAGAUAAAACUUUGAUUUCUGUGAGGGCAGCAGCUCCCCAACUCUUUUAGGACAUCAAGUGUUUCCCUUUCUUCCACGAUCAACUCUUUCUCCAAUACAAAGCUUGCUCCUCCAGUUUUUCGGGGUCAUGCUCUUCUGCGUGAUUUGGCUGAAAACAGAAGAGAAAAAGUUUUAAAAGAACUGAAAGUAAACAUUCAAACAAAAGUGCAGCACUAUAGUGUAUAUUAUAUGUCAAUACCUAAUUUCACUCUCUUAGCUCUGCAUUAGAAACUGAUCUUGUCUUUAGUUAUCUAGGGGACAAAACUCAUACAAUUUCUUUGAUUUUUGAGUGUUGUUCUCCAAUAAAAAUUAGAGUUUCACUUUGAGAACUUGUAUUGAACCAUACAAAUAAAAAAGCUUUUAAAGUGAAAAAAAAAACAAAAUGGAUUACCCUAAGAGCAACAAAAUGUGUGUUACUAAGAUCAUUAUAAAAGCUAAUCGAAAGAUGAAAAAUUAUCCAGGAGUUAAAAGUCAAAAGUUUUCAUAUUAUCUUAUUGAAUUAUAAAUGUUUAAUAAAAAAAAUAAAAAUAAAAAAUAAAAAAAUAAAUCACACUAAUUAUUUUUAAAGUUUUGUGAAAUUAAACAAUUUUCCCGUUUUUAUUUAUUCCUAGACUAAUUUUUUUAAUUUUUGAAAAAUAUACACCAAUACUCCUAACUCAUACAUUAUACUAACUAAUUAAUUGUUUUUUUAAUUAUUUAAAAAUAUUACAUCGUAUUUUCCUAUGAGAAAAUUUAUUGUUAAUGUUAAAAAUGCAGGGAUAAUUUAUGUAAUUUCAAAAAAUUUAAGAAGAAAAUAGUGUAAUUUACAAAAAAAAAUUAAAUUAAUACAUCGAUCUUGGAGAAAUAGAAAAAUGUUAAAGAAAAAUGUAAGAUAUAAUAGAGAUAUUGCGACAAGAAAGAAGGAAAAAAGGAGUUAUAUAAAAAAAUGUAUAAUUUUUUUAUAAAGUGUAUUUCAUCUUUGUUUUAAAAGUAUUGAUUAAAAAAUUAAAAAAUAUUUUUUUUAUUAACAAGACUCUAACAAAUAUUUCUGGAGAGAAAUGAUACUUAAGUGGAUUCUAGUAAGCCAGGAUUCUUGUAAGGUUUUGUUUGGUAGUAAAAAGAAAAAAAUAAUUGUGAAGAGAAAAAUAUAAGUUAGAGGAUAAAUAUCUUCAACACUUUAACAAACAAAUAAAAAAAAUCUAUGAAGUUCACUUAAAUCUAUUUUAAUUAUUGAUAAAAAUUUAUACAUGUUGAUUUAAAAUAAAAAUUAUAUUUUAUAGAAAUUAUAUUUUUUAAAUAUAAUAAAAUCUUUUCAUUUGCUCAUAUAUUUUUUUCUCCACUCAAAUUUUCUUUCUCUCAUUUUACUAUUGUUGUUUUGAUAAUCUCACUAAUUAUUUUUUACUUAACUAAUAAUAACAUUUUUGUAUAGAUAAGAUAAGAAGGAUAAUCACAAACAAGAAAUUUCAUGAAAAUAUUUAUCAAAUAAUUACAAUAGAUAUACUACAUAUAAAAAAGAAUUGAAUUGAAUGAUAAUUUUUCAUAUCAUCAUUUCAAAGAAUUACUUUAAUCACUUCCUGUAUCUUAUUAUUAUUAUUAUUAUUGUUGUUAUUAUUAUUAUUUAGUAAAAAAUUACACUUUUUUUUUUGCACACAUCUUUGACUUACAUAUAAGGAUAUUGAAAUCUUGAAUUUAUUAAUGUAAUAUUAAUAUCAUAUUUUUAGGGAUCAAUUAGCAUGUUUCCUUUGUUUCUUUCUCUUUUUAUUUGUUCAACAUUUUUUUUAGCUUAAUAGUUUUUUAAUGUCAUUUUAUUAUUUUCCUCCUAGCAAAAUUUAUUUUAUAUAUAAAAAUUAAUAAAGAUUUAAAUCUUUUACCAUUUUAUUAAAAAAUAUAAAUUACUAUUAAUUAUAUCAAUUCUUUAUAAAAUCAUGUCCUUAUAGAACAACAUAUUUCUAUGAUAACUUUAAUGGUAUGUGUUUGAUUUAGUAUUUGAUUGUAGAAAAUCAAGUUGAAGUAUCCAAACACAUGUGCAAUCUGCUUCAAUACAACUUUUUUGGAAUAAAAAUAUCCAAACACAUAUGCAAACUGCUUUAAUACAACUUGUCUUACAGGGCAUUAAAGCACAGGAACUUACGCACAGUACCCUUGCAGCCAUCCACCACAUAUCACUAAGAAAAAACACACACCUGACACAUCUGCAACUGCUUCAAUACAACUUGUCUUGCAGAGCAUUAAAGCACAGGAACUUAAUUUUAUUAUAUUUUAUUUUCAAAGUUAAUAUGUAAUAUAUAUUCUUGUGACCAACAUGUUAUUGCCUAUAGUAAAAUUAAAUAUGAUGCAAUCCCAAGUAAUUAGUGUAUUGAAAAAAUAAGAUUAGAUCAUUCACAUAUUAUCUGAGUUUAAUUUUUGGAAAAAAUAAUUAUUAGUAAGAUUUUACUUAUUUUUUUAUUGAACUCUAAAUUAGUUAAGAUCAUUUUUUUAUUAUGAAUCAAAGAGUUAAGACAAAAAUAAAAUAUAUCCCCUUAUAUCAAAAUUUUAAAUUUGAGUCUUACAUAUUAAAAAAAGAGAUUUCAUUAAAAUGACUAACUAGAUUUUUCUAUAAAAAUAAGUUAUUAAUAUAUAAAAUUGAUAAAUAUUUUGUUUUAAUGUUAUGAAAAUAAAUCUUUUAAACUCAAAUAUUGGCAAAAUUUUAGUUUAUAUAUAGUACAUGAGUUUAAAUUAUAGAAAUAUUUUUAAAUAUUAAAUAUAAAUAUAAUAAUAGUAUAUUAAAAUUGUUAAAAAUACAGGAUAAUUUGUCAUUCAAACUUUUUGAUCCCUUAUUAAAUCUUAGUAAGGAUUUCUUGUUACAAUAUGUGACAAAAUCUUUUGGGUGUGAGAUCGGUGAGAAUUAGAGAAAAUAAAUGAGGAUAUGAAAAUGAAGGUAUGCCAUUGUUCAACACCAAACGAUAAGGUCAUCUAAUCAGAUAGCGCCACCACCUUAUCUAAUCAGAUAAUGCCACGUGGUGGAUGAAUAGUCUCAGUGUCAUCGAGUUAAAGCCUUUUCUAUGUUGCCCAUGUUGUACUGCAUGUAUAGAUGGAAGCUGGAUCAAUGAUAAGACACAUAUAAGUGACUGAUUGAUGUAUUUCAUUUUUUUUUUUAGUGAAAUACACUUCAAUACUCAAUAUUCAUAAAAUAAAUAAAAUGAAAUACUUUUAUAAAAUGAAUUUCAUCAUUGUUUUAAGAACAUUGAUUAAAAAAUUAAAAGGAUAUUUUUUUUUUAUUAACAAGACUCUAGCAAAUAUUUAGGAGAAGAGAUGAUACUUAAGUGAAUUCUACCGAGCCACUAUUCUUGUAAGGUUUUAUAUGAUAGUACAAAAGAUAAAAAUAAUAGUGGGGAGAAAAAAUAAAUUAGACAAUAAAUAUUUUCAAGACUUUAACAAACAAAUAGAAAAACUUUUUAUUUUUAGAGUUAUAUCUAUUUAUAUUAUAUGUAAAGGAAAUUCAAACUAUUUAUUUUAGAGUUAUAUUUAUUUUAUUUUUAGAGUCAUUGAUACCAAUUUCACGUAAAUCUAUCUCAAAUAUUGAUAAAAAAUUGUAUUUCAUAAUAACAAUUGAUUUAAAAUAAAAAAUAUUUUAUAGAAAUUAUAUUUAUUAAAUAUGAUAAGAGAAAAAAAUAUCUUUUUUUAAAUAUAAAACAUUUUCAUUUGCUCACCAUUUCUUUCUAGACUUAAAUUUUCUUUCUCUCUCAUUUUAUUAUUUUUGUUUGAGAUAAUCUCACUAUUUCUUUUAUUUAACUAACAAUAAUAUUUUUGUAUAGAUAAGAUAUGAAGGACGGAAUUUCAUGAAAAUAUACAUCAAACAAUUACAAUAGACAACAUAUAAAAGUAGAGUUGAAUUGAAUAAUGAAUUUUUACGUCACAAUUUCAAUUGAAUUACUUUAAUCACUUUCUCUAGAGUAUUAUUAUUAUCAUCAUCAUCUGAAUGACAACUUCUUCACAAUAUUCUUUAGUAUAUUAGUAUCUAUUAUUUAUUUAUUUUAUUGAUUUUAUUUAGUAAAAAUCACACACUUUUCUUUCUACAUACAUCCUUGACAUAUAUGUAAGAACAUUAAAAUCUUUAAUUCAUUAAUAUUAUAUUUUUAGGGAUCAAUUAACAUGUAUUUUUUCUUCAAUUCUAUAUCUAAUGGUUAACUAAGACUCAAACUUUUGACCACUUGAUUAAGGAACACAAGACAUUACCACUUGUGUCAACCAUUAGUGGUACAAUACACAAGUUUAAAAACUAGUUAGAUUGGUAAAGGAAUGUUUCUUAUAUUUUCUAAUAAAAAAAAUUAAUUUUUAGUUUCUUAGUCCAUGCUUAAUGGGUGCUUAAGGAUAUUGCUUAGCUUUUUUCAAUCUUGUUUAAAGAUAUGUUUGACAAGAUAUUUUAAAUAACUGUUAACUUUUUUUACUAACUAAAAAAUUUAUUUAACUGUUUGAUAAAUAAGUUUUUUCUGUUUUUUUAACAGUUUUUAAAACCUUAUUUUAAUUAAUAUUUUUUAAAAUGCUAACUUCUAAUAUUUUAUAUUUUCUUCUUAUUUUAUCCUUAAUAUAUAUACUCAAACCUUCAAUUAGUUAGAUACAAGACUAUAUCUUAUUUCACUUAACUAACCUCAUGAAAUUAGAUGCAUGUCUUGUAUCAUUAAUAAAUUUAUUUAAUACAUGUCUUUCAUUUUGUAAUGAUAAAAGAUUUACUGAUAAUAAUGCAUGUCUUUUAUAACAUUAAUUAUUUCAUUUCUAUUAUGACAUUAUUUUCUUACUUUAAUUUCUAAAUAUUUUUUAAUUCAUAAUAAAUAUAAGAAAAUUAAUAUCAAAUAUUACAUUAAAAUUAACAUAAUUUUAAUAAGAAUAAAACAAUUAAUCAUAUUUCUAUUUUAUUCGUUAUGUUUUUAAGCUAACAAAUAAAAUUAACAGAAAAUAUUUGGGUUUAGUUAAAUUAAUUCUUAAAAAUAAUUCAUUUCCUUAUUAUUAAUAUUUUUAGAGAAAUUUUUUCAAAAGAAGAUAUUUUUCUAAACUAAUAUUUUCAAUCCUGUACUAAUACUUAGUUUAUACUAAUUUUUCUUAUGUGUUUGAACAACGAAAGUGCCUAUAUUUGGUCUUUUAGUUUAGAAGGGAGUAAAUUGAAAUACACCCUUAAAUUAGUACUUAUGAUUAUUUGAGUUUCUCUAUCAAAAGAUGCUAUUUGAGUUUUACAUUUUUAUUCUGCCGUCAAGUUCUUUUGAUAUGUUUAAAGUAUAUUUGAGAUACUUUUCGAUUUAAAUUUUUGUAAUGAUUUUGUUAUUAUUAAAUAAAGUCUUGCUAGGGUGAGAAAUUUUGUUUAUAUACAAAUUUCUCUUAGUCUUACUUAACUUUAAAGUUUAAAGUGAUAUGAGAUUUUUUCACAUACUAAAACAAUUUUGAUUAUAAAUUUUGGUUGUUUAAAUAUAUUUUAAUUUGGUACUUAUAUUUUAUCUUUAUAAGUUCAUUUUUCUAAUUUUUAUUUAUGUAAGUGAUGAUUUUUAUAAUUUUGAUUAUGCAAGUUUUCUAAAUUCAUUUUAAUCUUUGUUAGUUUAUAUUUUUUUAAUUUUAAUUCUUUUACUAUUUUAUUUAUAGUCCCAUAAAUCUGUGUUUAUAGGGACCAAAAUUAAAAAUACAAACUUAUGAGAAUUGAAAAUGAGUAAAAUAUUUUAAAGAAAUCAAAAUUAAAAAGACAUAGACUUAUCGAGACCAAAAAUAAAAUAAAAAUACUAAAAUACAUUGAUUAAAAUAUAUUUAAAUCUAUUUGAGUAUAGAGCUAGUAUGGGUGUUUCUCGUAGGAAACUAUUAACUUAUGUCAUGGUUGGAUUGUUAAAACAAGAUUUCUGGAUACAAGAGUUGGUUGGUUGAGGAACAAUUUUCUUAGGUAAUCUUAAAGUGAAAAACAUGAAAUGAGCAAAAUCUAAAAAAUUAGAAUAGAGUAUAAAAGUGUGAGUUUUACUCUAUUUUAUUGUUAGUUAUUUUAUUUUUUGUUCUUUAUUUUCCCAAACAAACAUAACCUUAAAGUAUAUUUGAAAGGAGAGAUGGGAAUAAUAUUAAGAAGAAAAUUUAUAUUUUUUUAAUGAGAUUCACACAUUUUAAACUUUAUUUAAAUUAAAAAAUUAUUAUAUUUUUAUUUUUUUUCAAUUUACAUAAUCUAAAUCAAGCACACCAUUAGAGAAACAAAAACCAUCCAAAAUAAGAAUUAAAUACUUUGAAUAUAAACAAAUUGACUAUCCCAAAAUAAUAAGAUUGAAAAAAAUUAAUUUUUGACUUUAUAAAAUGACUUUUACUUCAAUCUUUUUUAUUAAUGCAAAAUGACAAUGAGAAAUAAGGCAAAAAAAAUAUUAAAAUAAAUUAUUUUUAAAGUUAAAGACUAGAAAAGCUUUUUUUUUUUUAGUUUUAUGGAGUAAAAUGUUUUAGUCAUAUAAUUUUGAGGCUAAUUUAAAAAUUUAUUGAAAUAUAUGGGAGAUUGUUGUGUUUCUUUUGGAAUAUUUUAAAAGAUUUGAAUUUGAAAUUCUUAUACAUAGAUGACAUAUUGAAUACUCCAGAAUUUGUUUUGUCUCAAUUUCAAAAAUCCUUCUAAUAAGAAUUUUCUUCUUGCCGUUUUUUAUUUAAACAGUCUAAUUAUCUCAAUGAGUUUCUCUUCGUUUGUAUUAAAAUUAUACUGCGUCAAUUAGUUUCUUUCUAUUUUUAUUGAAAUAGUAUAAUUACCUCAAUUAUUUUCUUACUAUUUCUAUGUUUUCUUUACCCUAUAAAUUCUGCACUUUACCUUCAUAUUUAGAAAAAUCAAAAACAAAAAAAACAUUUUCUCUUUUUCUCUUUGCAUUCUCCUCUUUUGUUCCUGCCCUUUUCUAUUUUCUAUUCAUAGCAAAGAUUUGUUAAAUUCGGGGAGAUUUUGAUUUUAUGCAAAUAAAUCCUUAAGGAUAAUGUGUUUAAUGAGUGGUGGGUUCAAGAUCUUAUGGAUGUAAAUUAUAAAAAAUAAAAUUAAUGAGUUCAAUUAUAUAAAUAUAAAUAAAAUAAAAUAUAAAAAUAUAAGAUUUUAUUUAUAAAUAUAAUAAAUUUUAAAAAAUAGAAAUACAAGUAUACACCCUCACAUGUUACAGGUCUGCCACUGUAUUUAAGACACAUCUGAUGCUAAUGUCAUUACAGGUCGUUGAACUUUAUGAGUAUAAAAUCAAGUUGAUAUUUGUGUUCAUUAAAUAUUAUAUGAUUUUUUUAAGAUCGUGGUUUAUGAUUAGAUUUUCCUCUAGAACAAUAGAUCUCUAUCAUAAUAUUAUUGCGGUGUAUUUAGUUUCAUGUUUAAUUAUCUAGAAUCAAGUUGAAAUAUAAACAUGACAGACAUGAAUUUAAAUAAAUGUUCAACUAUUUACUUUCACAUUUUUGGAAUUGAUUUUAAUUUUCAAGUUUAGAACUAAUUCUAAGUUAAUUAGGCACAGUACCCUUGCAGCCAUCCACACAUAUCACCAAGAAAAAAACACACACCACUGCUCCCCACAGUUUGGAAACAGAAAUGAAACUAGCUAAUCUAAAGUGAGGUGACAUUUAAAGUGAGAAAGCUGUCCAUCACUAACUUUAAUUAAAAGCAUUUUAGAAAUAUAAUCCAUUUUUAAAAAAAUUAACGGUAGAAAUAUCAUCACUUUUUAAAUCUCUUGAGUCUUUAGUUUGGAGGAGCUAAAUUCAAAAUAGAAAUAUCAAGAAAGCAACAUGUGGGGAACAAAAGUAAACACAAUCCCAAAUAGCAUCCAGGCCAACGCCAUAAGUCACCCACCGCCAUAAUAAUAACAAAUAAAAAAACCGUACUUUUGUCUUGCACAGCAGAACGAGUGAAAGUGAAGAGAGUUAAUUUCAAGCCAAAUCUCAUCACAUCAGUUAACCUUACCAAGAACCAACCCAGUUCGUAGCAACCAAUUCCCUUGCCUUUGUCUUUCUACUCUGAUCAUCUUUUGUUCAUGAGAUAAUGGCUGCAGCAGUGGUAGGUGGUGCCUUUCUCUCUGCUUUCCUUGAUGUGCUUUUCGACAGGCUGGCUUCACCUGACUUUGUUCACUUGAUCCUUGGAAAGAAGCUUAGCAAGAAGUUGCUUCGAAAGUUGGAGACCACUCUCAGAGUGGUUGGAGCUGUGCUUGAUGAUGCCGAGAAGAAACAGAUCACAAACACCAAUGUCAAACACUGGCUCAAUGAUCUCAAAGACGCUGUCUAUGAAGCCGAUGACUUACUCGACCAUGUUUUCACCAAAGCUGCCACCCAAAACAAGGUAAGAGACUUGUUUUCUCGCUUUUCCGAUAGGAAGAUCGUUAGUAAGUUAGAAGACAUAGUUGUCAGACUUGAGUCUCAUUUAAAACUCAAGGAGAGUCUUGAUUUGAAAGAGAGUGCAGUGGAGAACUUGUCAUGGAAAGCUCCAUCAACAUCUCUGGAAGAUGGAUCUCAUAUAUAUGGUAGGGAGAAAGAUAUGGAGGCCAUAAUCAAGUUGUUGUCGGAGGAUAACAGUGACGGUAGUGAUGUGUCUGUGGUUCCUAUUGUGGGCAUGGGUGGGGUUGGAAAAACUACUUUGGCCCAAUUGGUGUACAACGAUGAGAAUUUGAAACAGAUAUUUGAUUUUGAUUUUAAGGCAUGGGUUUGUGUUUCUCAAGAAUUUGAUGUUCUCAAGGUCACAAAAACUAUAAUAGAGGCGGUUACUGGAAAGGCUUGUAAAUUGAAUGAUCUGAAUCUACUUCAUCUUGAAUUGAUGGACAAGCUGAAAGAUAAAAAGUUCUUAAUUGUUUUGGAUGAUGUUUGGACAGAGGAUUAUGUUGAUUGGAGUCUUCUUAAGAAACCAUUCAACCGUGGGAUUAGGAGAAGUAAGAUUCUUCUAACAACCCGCAGUGAAAAAACAGCAUCUAUAGUCCAAACUGUUCACACCUAUCAUCUAAACCAAUUGUCGAAUGAAGAUUGUUGGUCAGUGUUUACGAACCAUGCGUGUCUUUCCUCCGAAUCGAACAAGAACCCAACAACACUAGAAAAAAUUGGAAAGGAGAUUGUUAAAAAGUGCAACGGACUGCCUUUAGCAGCACAGUCGCUCGGAGGCAUGUUGAGAAGAAAGCAUGACAUUGGUGAUUGGAAUAAUAUUCUGAAUAAUGACAUUUGGGAUCUUUCUGAAGGUGAGUGUAAAGUUAUUCCAGCACUGAGACUUAGUUAUCAUUAUCUCCCUCCACAUUUAAAACGGUGCUUUGUUUAUUGUUCGUUGUAUCCACAAGAUUACGAAUUUGAUAAAAAUGAAUUAAUCUUGUUGUGGAUGGCCGAAGAUCUUUUGAAGAAACCAAGAAAUGGUAGGACUUUAGAAGAGGUUGGUCAUGAGUAUUUUGAUGAUUUGAUUUCGAGAUCAUUUUUCCAACGUUCAAGUACAAAUAGAAGUAGUUGGCCUUAUGGCAAAUGUUUUGUGAUGCAUGACCUCAUGCAUGAUCUAGCCAGAUCACUCGGUGGAGAUUUUUAUUUUAGAUCAGAAGAACUUGGGAAAGAAACAAAGAUCAAUACUAAGACUCGUCAUUUGUCAUUUGCCAAAUUCAAUUCUUCAGUCUUGGACAACUUUGAUGUUGUUGAUAGAGCAAAAUUUCUGAGAACUUUCUUGUCUAUUAUCAAUUUUGAAGCUGCUCCAUUCAACAAUGAGGAGGCACAAUGUAUCAUAGUGUCGAAGCUUAUGUACUUGAGAGUUUUAUCAUUUCGAGACUUCCAAAGUAUGGAUUCUUUGCCUGAUUCAAUAGGUAAAUUGAUUCAUCUGCGCUAUUUAGAUCUCUCUCAUUCAAGUAUAGAAACACUGCCAAAGUCAUUGUGUAAUUUAUACAAUCUGCAAACUUUGAAGUUGUAUGGUUGCAUCAAACUGACUAAGUUGCCUAGUGACAUGUCCAAUCUUGUUAACUUGCGUCAUCUUGGUAUUGCUUAUACUCCUAUAAAAGAGAUGCCGAGAGGAAUGAGUAAAUUAAAUCAUUUACAAUAUCUGGAUUUCUUUGUUGUGGGCAAGCACGAAGAGAAUGGAAUCAAAGAAUUGGGAGGACUUUCAAAUCUUCAUGGUCAGCUUGAAAUUAGGAACUUGGAGAAUGUUUCCCAAAGUGAUGAAGCAUUGGAGGCAAGGAUAAUGGAUAAAAAAUACAUUAAUAGUUUACGGUUGGAAUGGUCUGGAUGUAACAACAACAGUACCAACUUCCAACUUGAAAUAGACGUGCUUUGCAAGUUACAGCCUCACUAUAACAUUGAAUUGUUGGAAAUAAAAGGUUAUAAAGGAACCAGAUUUCCAGAUUGGAUGGGAAAUUCUUCCUACUGCAAUAUGACACAUCUAAACUUGAGUGAUUGUGACAACUGUAGUAUGCUUCCUUCACUUGGGCAACUACCUUCUCUCAAUGUCCUUGAUAUUUCAAAAUUGAAUAGGCUGAAGACUAUUGAUGAAGGUUUUUACAAGAAUGAAGAUUGUCGUUCUGGGACGCCCUUUCCCUCCCUUGAAUUUCUGUCCAUUUAUGACAUGCCUUGUUGGGAGGUGUGGAGUUCCUUCAAUUCAGAAGCUUUUCCUGUGCUUAAAAGUCUUAAAAUACGCGACUGCCCCAAACUAGAGGGAAGUUUGCCGAAUCACCUUCCUGCUCUGAAAACAUUUGAUAUUAGUAAUUGUGAGCUGCUUGUCUCUUCUCUCCCAACGGCUCCCGCCAUUCAAAGAUUGGAGAUAAGUAAAAGCAAUAAAGUAGCACUGCAUGCGUUUCCUCUCUUGGUAGAAACUAUAACAGUAGAAGGAAGCCCAAUGGUGGAGUCCAUGAUAGAGGCCAUCACUAACAACCAACCAACUUGUCUCCUGUCUUUAAAAUUAAGGGAUUGCUCGUCAGCCGUGUCAUUUCCGGGUGGUCGUUUACCUGAAUCACUGAAGACUCUGCGUAUCAAGGAUAUUAAAAAACUGGAAUUCCCGACGCAACACAAACAUGAGUUACUGGAAACACUGUCAAUAGAAAGCAGUUGUGAUUCACUCACAUCUCUUCCAUUGGUUACCUUUCCAAAUCUCAGAGAUCUUGAAAUCAGAAACUGUGAAAAUAUGGAAUAUCUUUUGGUUUCAGGGGCAGAGUCAUUUGAGAGUCUGUGUUCUUUGGACAUCAAUCAAUGCCCCAACUUUGUAUCAUUCUGGAGAGAAGGAUUGCCUGCGCCCAACUUGAUUGCUUUCAGCGUUUCGGGCUCUGACAAGUUUUCGUUGCCUGAUGAGAUGAGUAGUCUUCUCCCAAAGUUAGAAUAUCUCGUCAUAUCCAACUGCCCAGAAAUUGAGUGGUUUCCAGAAGGGGGUAUGCCACCUAACCUGAGAACAGUUUGGAUUGACAAUUGUGAGAAACUACUGAGCGGCCUAGCAUGGCCAUCCAUGGGCAUGCUUACUGAUCUCACUGUUUCGGGUCGAUGUGAU
rnacentral:lncRNA from 1 species